rnacentral:rRNA from 1 species
AUUGAACGCUGGCGGCAUGCCUUACACAUGCAAGUCGAACGGCAGCACGGGGGCAACCCUGGUGGCGAGUGGCGAACGGGUGAGUAAUACAUCGGAACGUGCCCCGUAGCGGGGGACAACCAGUCGAAAGACUGGCUAAUACCGCAUACGCUCCACGGAGGAAAGCAGGGGAUCGCAAGACCUUGCACUAUGGGAGCGGCCGAUGCCCGAUUAGCUAGUUGGUGAGGAAAAGCUCACCAAGGCAACGAUCGGUAGCUGGUCUGAGAGGACGACCAGCCACAC